rnacentral:tRNA from 1 species
GGGGAAUAGUAUAGAUUAGUAUGUGCGAUUUCGGCUCGUGCGGUGAGUGAUCGGGCUCUUCCC